GGAUAGCUCAGUUGGUUAGAGUGUGGUGCUGAAAAUACCAAGGUUGCAAGUUCAAUCACUGUAAGGGAUAGCUGCA
rnacentral:tRNA from 1 species